rnacentral:rRNA from 1 species
GGGAGCAAACAGGAUUAGAUACCCUGGUAGUCCACGCCGUAAACGAUGUCGACUUGGAGGUUGUGCCCUUGAGGCGUGGCUUCCGGAGCUAACGCGUUAAGUCGACCGCCUGGGGAGUACGGCCGCAAGGUUAAAACUCAAAUGAAUUGACGGGGGCCCGCACAAGCGGUGGAGCAUGUGGUUUAAUUCGAUGCAACGCGAAGAACCUUACCUGGUCUUGACAUCCACGGAAGUUUUCAGAGAUGAGAAGGUGCCUUCGGGAACUGUGAGACAGGUGCUGCAUGGCUGUCGUCAGCUCGUGUUGUGAAAUGUUGGGUUAAGUCCCGCAACGAGCGCAACCCUUAUCCUUUGUUGCCAGCGGUCCGGCCGGGAACUCAAAGGAGACUGCCAGUGAUAAACUGGAGGAAGGUGGGGAUGACGUCAAGUCAUCAUGGCCCUUACGACCAGGGCUACACACGUGCUACAAUGGCGCAUACAAAGAGAAGCGACCUCGCGAGAGCAAGCGGACCUCAUAAAGUGCGUCGUAGUCCGGAUUGGAGUCUGCAACUCGACUCCAUGAAGUCGGAAUCGCUAGUAAUCGUGGAUCAGAAUGCCACGGUGAAUACGUUCCCGGGCCUUGUACACACCGCCCGUCACACCAUGGGAGUGGGUUGCAAAAGAAGUAGGUAGCUUAACCUUCGGGAGGGCGCUUACCACUUUGUGAUUCAUGACUGGGGUGAAGUCGUACAAAGGGUAAACCAA